CCUACGGGAGGCAGCAGUGGGGAAUAUUGGACAAUGGGGGCAACCCUGAUCCAGCCAUGCCGCGUGAGUGAUGAAGGCCUUAGGGUUGUAAAGCUCUUUCGCCGGUGAAGAUAAUGACGGUAGCCGGUAAAGAAGCCCCGGCUAACUCCGUGCCAGCAGCCGCGGUAAU
rnacentral:rRNA from 1 species